AGAGCGAACGCUGGCGGCAGGCCUAACACAUGCAAGUCGAGCGCCGUAGCAAUACGGAGCGGCAGACGGGAGAGUAACACGUGGGAACGUACCCUUUGGUUCGGAACAACCCAGGGAAACUUGGGCUAAUACCGAAUAAGCCCUUACGGGGAAAGAUUUAUCGCCGAAGGAUCGGCCCGCGUCUGAUUAGCUAGUUGGUGGGGUAACGGCCCACCAAGGCGACGAUCAGUAGCUGGUCUGAGAGGAUGAUCAGCCUCAUUGGGACUGAGACACGGCCCAAACUCCUACGGGAGGCAGCAGUGGGGAAUAUUGGACAAUGGGCGCAAGCCUGAUCCAGCCAUGCCGCGUGGGUGAUGAAGGCCCUAGGGUUGUAAAGCCCUUUCGGCGGGGAAGAUAAUGACGGUACCCGCAGAAGAAGCCCCGGCUAACUCGUGCCAGCAGCCGC
rnacentral:rRNA from 1 species